AAUAAUCCUGUUAAAUAAUCCUGUUGAUAAGUGACUUCAGCUAUGUAGUCAUCUCACUACCUCACUGUUGUUCUUUACCUGGUACACUUUAAUGAAUAGAGUCAAUCCAUUUGUAUAUAAGCCACCAUGAAUGUACAUAAGUCACCUUAAAUCUCUGCUUUAUUUUCUUUAUAUAUAUAUUUUUUUGAUACACUGUAUAUAUGAGGACACACUGUUUAUACCUUAAUGACCCUUUUCCUCCUUUUGGCACCUUCUUUUGAUACAAGACCAGUUCCACAUUGUUUUAAUGUUGAGUGUGCAUCAGUUUGUAAUUGUAUGUCUAUAGAAGCUGGUCUUUAAAAUUUCACUUAGUAUUCAGCUGUGAGGAUAGAGAGAAAGAAGAGAAGAUGACAGAGGAAGAAUCAGGUCAGACAGGGGAAAGGUUGGUCUAAUAUUAGGUGGAAGUGAGGGAACAGCUUAAUCCCAAGCAAUAAUGUUAAAACAUUAUGUUUAAAAACUGUAUUAAGAUCUGCAUUUUUUACAACUUUUCUAUUUUUUUGACCAUAUCACUCAGUUGAGAAUGCCACAGACAAGGUGUGAAGGAGACAGACAUGAUAGAAGAUAGAAGAGACAAGUGAUGACAUCAGUGCAGGCAGACAGUGAGUCAAUCACCACAAAGGAGAAUGUUCUCUACGGACAACAAAGCCUCAUGUCUGCCGACCAUCUCAAUGCCCGAGCCAGAACUGAACACUCAUUGCCAUUCAGCUCAAUUGUCUCCUGCAAGUGGAGGAACAAAAAAAGGACUUACGAAGUUUGGGAAGAAGAAGCCCGAGAACUAUGAUAUUUUAUUCUGAAACAGAGAACAGACACCUGAGAACCCUGAGCCAACGACAUAUGCGUGAUUAGAUUCACGUCUGCCAUGUGCUCUGAAUAGCGUUCUUAACAUACUGGCUUUUUUCAUAUUGUGUUACUGUGUUUUUCAACUGCUCUGUUCCACUCACUUACAUGACCCUUUUUGAUUUCCUGUGUUAUGACAUUUAUACAGUGAUGUUGCAUUAUGUUGAUCAAUAUUGUUUUAUGAUAAAGAAUGGAAACUGUCUGCUUCAGACACACACCAAGACCUACAUUUUAUGCAAUCUUUUUGCUUUGAUAUAAGGAGAACCAGGAUCUGCAUGGCACCAAAGAUCCUUAAAAUACUUGGUAAUAGUAAUUCUCAAAUUCAAUACUGGGACUUUUGGCUAAUUUUGGCCAAGAGCAGGAUUUCCCUGAGGGUCUUAUCAGUUUUUACCUUCUCUUAGGUUCUUUAAAAUAUUUGAGGUGAGGUUUAUCCAGCAAGCGUUGAUAACUCAAUUAUAACUGCAAUUAGAGUUUAAUCCUUACUCCAUUUACCACCAACCAAUGAUAAUGUCUCUGUAUUAAUCUCAGGUGUUAACCUAAAAAGAGGUAACUCUGUAUUCUGA